UCUCCUCCGUGCCCGCCGGGCAGGAUCGUGACCCCAGAUCCCACGAUUAGGGUCGUGAGCCUGACAGAAGUAACUCUCCACACUAGCAAACCUCCCGGAGGGGGAAGCGCGGCCCAAGCGCGGCCCCCUGAUGCUCCGCCGUGCGCUGUUCAUUACGAACGUGCAGGAGCACCAUCGACCACUCAGGCCAACGGAACGCUGUUGGUGGGAAUCCAGGCACUAGGACCCCCUCAACCAUCACAGAGUUGCUUCAAGACCAUAGAUGUUCCUGGUGAUUUGACAUCUGGUGAUUUAGUUGUUGUCCUCAGCUGUGGACAGAAGGCACAGUGAGAAACCCAGACCUUCAGGAUCACUAAUCCAGAUGUUCCUGCCAAGGUAUUAGGUGUACAUCAGCUAGGACUAACCGAGCAGCUCCAGUUAUUCCCCACCUCCAUCAAAGCGACGCGCCAGGAUCCUGCACCAUGCUGCCAGAGGAGGCCUCGGCGAUGAAUGAACUGAGGCCCAGUUAAGUGACUUGCCCAAAACAAG